rnacentral:rRNA from 1 species
GAUGAACGCUGGCGGUAUGCUAACACAUGCAAGUCGAACGGAAUCUUCGGAUUUAGUGGCGGACGGGUGAGUAACGCGUGAGAAUCUGCUUUCAGGAUGGGGACAACAAUUGGAAACGAUUGCUAAUACCCGAUAUGACGAAAGUUGAAAGAUUUAUCGCCUGGAGAUGAGCUCGCGUCAGAUUAGCUAGAUGGUGUGGUAAAGGCGCACCAUGGCGACGAUCUGUAGCUGGUCUGAGAGGAUGAGCAGCCACACUGGGACUGAGACACGGCCCAGACUCCUACGGGAGGCAGCAGUGGGGAAUUUUCCGCAAUGGGCGCAAGCCUGACGGAGCAAUACCGCGUGAGGGAGGAAGGCUCUUGGGUCGUAAACCUCUUUUCUCAGGGAAGAACAAAAUGACGGUACCUGAGGAAUCAGCAUCGGCUAACUCCGUGCCAGCAGCCGCGGUAAUACGGAGGAUGCAAGCGUUAUCCGGAAUGAUUGGGCGUAAAGCGUCCGUAGGUGGUUAUGUAAGUCUGUGGUUAAAGCGUGGGGCUCAACCCCAUAACGGCCAUGGAAACUACAAGACUUGAGUGAAGUAGGGGUAGAGGGAAUUCCCAGUGUAGCGGUGAAAUGCGUAGAGAUUGGGAAGAACACCGGUGGCGAAAGCGCUCUACUGGACUUAAACUGACACUGAGGGACGAAAGCUAGGGGAGCGAAAGGGAUUAGAUACCCCUGUAGUCCUAGCCGUAAACGAUGGAUACUAGGUGUUGCCCG